rnacentral:tRNA from 1 species
GGCCUUGUAGUGUAGUUUGGAUAUCACUUCGGCUUGCGGAGCCGAUAACCGGGGUUCAAAUCCCCGCAGGGCCGCCA